rnacentral:rRNA from 1 species
GAUGAACGCUGGCGGCGUGCUUAACACAUGCAAGUCGAACGAUGAAGCCCAGCUUGCUGGGUGGAUUAGUGGCGAACGGGUGAGUAACACGUGAGUAACCUGCCCUUAACUCUGGGAUAAGCCUGGGAAACUGGGUCUAAUACCGGAUAGGAGCGCCUACCGCAUGGUGGGUGUUGGAAAGAUUUAUCGGUUUUGGAUGGACUCGCGGCCUAUCAGCUUGUUGGUGAGGUAAUGGCUCACCAAGGCGACGACGGGUAGCCGGCCUGAGAGGGUGACCGGCCACACUGGGACUGAGACACGGCCCAGACUCCUACGGGAGGCAGCAGUGGGGAAUAUUGCACAAUGGGCGAAAGCCUGAUGCAGCGACGCCGCGUGAGGGAUGACGGCCUUCGGGUUGUAAACCUCUUUCAGUAGGGAAGAAGCGAAAGUGACGGUACCUGCAGAAGAAGCACCGGCUAACUACG